ensembl:lncRNA
GUUCCUGGUGCGAGUGGCUCCUGUCCACCCCUGCCACGACAGCUCCCAUCUCCGCACAGGUAUGAGAGGGCCAUGGCCCCCUCCUGCACGGGGGGGGGGGGGGGGGAUCUGCAAUGCCCCCCCGGCAUCCCCCACCCCCUGCCAUGGNCCCCCCAGUUUGUUGGAGCCCCUCGGAGCCCCUGCAGGCUCCCUGGCCCCUCUGCACCUCUGCAGCCCUGGACUCUGCUCCUGGGAUGACAACUGCUGUGGCGGCAGCCCCCUCUCACCUCCCUGGCAGCCCCCAGAGGGCCCCCCCUUGGCCCUGCUGCCUCCCUGCACCCCACUGCACCCCACUGCCCACCUCCACACCCUCCCUUGCCCUUGGCUCUGAGCAUGCCAGGAGAGGGGGGGGUUGCGGCAUGGGGCCCCCAGACCAUGAAUUGGAGGAGGAUUGGAGCACGUGGAUUCCCGUUGGUCCUGAAGAACACGUUGGACCAAAAAGUCGCCGUCCCAGAAAGCCCUGCGCUUUGUUCUUUGCUCUAAAUAAAAAGGUUUGGGGUUUUGUUCAUGUAGCAAAUGUAGUUUAACGACAGAGCCAGGGCAAACUCCUCCACUGCCAGCGCAGGGCAUUGUUUUAUUUGAAGGAGAAUGACACCGGCCUCCAGAUCAGUGCUUUGUAAGCAGGAAAAUAUGCUUAUUAUGAGCAAAAAUUGUUCUGUGGAGAUCUCUAAGCAAAAAAAACCCACCACCCCCGGAGCACACGGCCCUGAUACCCCAAUUGUUUGGCCCUGCAAAAAGGUCAGGGUUGUUCCCGCCCCGUUUCAUCCUCAACAUCUGAGUGCAGUCCUGAGAUCACAGAAACAUGGAAUGGUUGGGAUUGGGUUGGGGUUGGAUUGUAUUGGAAUUGGGGCUGGGGUUGUGUUGGGUUGGGUUUGGGAUGAAGUUGGGGUUGGGUUGGUGUUGGGUUGGGGGUUGGGUUGGGUUGGAAUUGGGUUGGGGUUGCACUGGGAUUGAGAUGGUAUGGGAUUGGAUUGUAUUGGAGCUGGGGUUGGGGUUGGGUUGGGUUGGGGUUGGGUUGGGUUUGGGAUGAAGUUGCAGUUGUGUUGUGUUGUGUUGGGUUGGGUUUGGGUUGAAGUUGGGGUUGGGAUGGGGUUGAGUUGGGUUGGGGGUUGGAUUGGGGUUGAGUUUGGGAUUGAGUUGGGGUUGAAUUAGGGUUGGGGUUGGGUUGGAUUAGGGGUUGAGUUGGGGUUGGGUUUGGGGUUGAGGCUGGGUUCGGGUCGGGUUGGGGUUGAGUUGGGUUGGGAUUGAAUUGUGUUGGGGUUGGAUUGAAUUAGGGUUGGGGUUGGGUUGGGGUUGAGUUUGCGGUUUGGGGUUGGGUUGGGGUUCAGUUGGGGUUGGAGUUGGGUUGGGGUUGGGGCUGAGUAGGUGUUUGGGUUGGGAUUGAGUUUGCGUUGGGGUUGGGUUGGGGUUGAGUCUGUGAUUUGGGGCUGGAUUGGGGUUCAGUUGGGGGUGGGGUUGGGGUUUGGGAUUUGGGAUUUGGGGUUGGAUUGGGGUUCAGUUGGGGUUGGAGUAGAGUUGGGUUGAGGU